UACGAAGGGGGCGAGCGUUGUUCGGAAUUACUGGGCGUAAAGGGCGCGCAGGCGGCUCUGAAAGUCAGAUGUGAAAGCCCCGGGCUUAACCUGGGAAUUGCAUUUGAUACUCUGGAGCUUGAGUGUGGGAGAGGAGAGUGGAAUUCCCAGUGUAGAGGUGAAAUUCGUAGAUAUUAGGGAAGAACACCGGUGGCGAAGGCGGUCCACUGGGCCGAUUACCUGACGCUGAGG
rnacentral:rRNA from 1 species